rnacentral:lncRNA from 12 species
GCUAUGGAAUAACUUCAAUCUUCUCUGUAGCAGAGCAGUGGGACAUUCUGCUGCAGUUCUCUUUGAGAAUACAAGAGGAAGCUGUGAACUCCAUGUCACAGUGAUGGGACAGUGGAACAAUAACGCUAGACUGAGAAACCAAUCUGAAUCUACUGAAGUUGUGUAUGCAUGUUCUCUUUUCUUUUUUUGGAUGAGAGAUUAUUUGAAUGUGUUAAUGUUUUGAACUUAGUUACCAGCAGUCUCUAAAUUCUGUUGUACUACAGGCAUUAAUAAAUGUCCAACAUUUAUUAAAACAAAAUGUUUUAAAUAACUGUCCUGCUCAAAGCACAAAUUAAAUGAAAAAGAGAUUAUAAAAUUGUCAAGGUUGUGAGCUCUAUUUUUCUGUUAUAUGCAUAAGUAUUUUGGGGUUGCAAUAUUUAACACAUUUGACACAUGCUUAAUUAUGCAAAGCACCUUAAAGUACAUGGACCUGAAAACCAUUUUCUGUUAAAAAAAAAAAAAAAACUGGUAAAAAGAGAUAAUGAAUCAAACAAUUUUGUGUUCUUUUUUCAAAAGUUGUGCACUCUACAAAACACAGGAAUUAAAACUAGAAAUUUGAAUGAGACACUGUGGAAGAAGGUUCAGAGAGUAGAGGCUGUGGACAGACAAUGACUUUAGAGACGGACAUCUGCUCAAGGACAGAAACAUAACCCCUGCUGGAGCUCAGGGGGGGACCCGAAUCAUCCCCACCCCUUCAUUCACACAACACUAACUCAUAUUGCAGAGAUCUGGCUGGGAUUGAACCAGCAACCUCUGAACCGUGAGGCAGCGCUCUUACCUGUGAGCCACAGAUCUCUUGCUUGAACUUGUGCUGGAAUUUAUAUUUCACUGUUCAUCUGCAUGUGAUUCUACAAUAAAUCAGUUAAAGCUCUUACAGAGUCUCUCUACUUGUGUGAGAUGGGAUUUGAACCCAUGCCUCUAUCACCGAUAACAUGUUUAGCCACUAACCCAUCAUGGCUUUCACAUUGAAGGCUUGUGUUUGUGGCACUUUGUUGGAUAUAUUAGCAUCAGUAUAAUGUAAGCAAUAGUGGGAUUUGAACUCAUAACUCCAUAAUUCAAACACAUCAGGUUAUCCACUGAGCCAUUGAGUCUGGCAGUUGUUUUUAAUUUUAAUAAGUUGAUUAUGUGCUUAGCCACAACGCGGCUUUAAUUGUUUUAAACACUCAUUUCACAUUAUAUCAUAUCACUUUGUUUCAUUUGCAAACUUUACUUUAAGAUGACACAGUGUGGCUGGUUAAAUUGUGUGUAGUGUACUUUGCAAAUUUUCUUGACAAUUUAUAUUGAUAUAUCUUUUUUUUUUUUUUUUUUUUAAUAAAAGUUUAUGAAGUUAUGUAAGAAAUUACAUUUUUUUUAUUUGAUAAAGUAUGCAUUUUAUUUCCAGGCUUUUAUGGCUGUUGUAAAUGUUUAGAGCCAGCAGAUGUCAAUGUUGUCCAUUUACUCAUUUCCCUUUCCCUACAUUUUAUUUCAUGCACAUUUUAAAUUUUAGUGUGGCAUUGAUGCAUCUUUUUUCCCCAGACUAUGUAGGUUUAAGAACAUGAAUCACCUGAUCAUUUUUAGCAUGUUAUCUGUGCAUAUAACUUCAGUAUUGCAAGUGAUGCUUUUUUAAUAGGACAGUCAACAGUUAUGGGUGCUUUUGAAACACUGCUUCAUUUAGAUUCGAUUUUUUUGUUUGAAUCAAUGAUUCAGAGCAUGUAACAGACUGGUCAAGUCAUGUGAUUUCAGCAAAACUUUGAAACAUUCCGUUAAUCUGGUGAAACAUUGACCAGCGUCUGAUUAAUAUAUGGUUUUAACUGAUCUCAGGUCCGAUGUAUAAUUUAGGGUUUAGUUUAAUGACAAACACUCGUGUAUAUAAUGCAAAAAUGGUGAGUAAUAGUUAAAUGUAAUUUGCCUGUUUACCCAAGCCCUUACAAAAACAUACAAUACAAGAAUAAAACAACACCAAUUAUACAGACACUUCAUAUUUAAUGUAACAGAAUGAACUUCCAGGAAAAUACUUGCAAUCACUUUGUAAAAGGUGUCAUUAAACAUGUUUGCACUGUUCUUAUUUCAUUUACACCAUUUUGACCAGCAGGUGUCUCCACAUGUGUUGUGUAGAGCACUUUAAAACAGACAAACAUUUAAAUUCAGAGUUUGGAAAAGCUCUGUUCCUAUCUUGACUACUGAUAUGUAAAAGAUUGUGAAUUGUGAAUUUCAAAAUUGUGAAAAUCAGCAAACAAGGUGAGCCAUCAAAAAUAUAUAUUUUUUAAUGUUAAAGUGACUCCGUUUGUCCAUUAUCAUUGCAAUAGCAAUGGUUGAAGACGUGGCUUUGGAUCUACAGUCAAUUGAAAGCAAAUCUGCAAAGGCUAUUGUUUGCUAGCGAUGAAGAUCUUUAUUAGAUGAACACAGCGUGUGCUGUCUACGGUUCAACAGGUUUAACUUAGGCUACAUUUGAUUACAGUACACGAUACCACUAUGACAUUACCAGUUUGUUUUACGUGUAACUUAUAAAUUAAAUACAAUGUGUAGUUGACUUACUCAAGUUCAACCAGACAUUAAUAAUCAAACAAAAAGUGACAAGCAGAAGUCAUCAACUUGAUGUGUGUUAGGUAGGGAGUACAGCCAAGGCUUCAUCACUGAGAACAUGGUGAAGAACCUCCUUCCUCCAUCUGCAGAUGACACACUUCCCAUGAUUCAAUUCACCUACAAACCUGUAUUUCUUUAUCCUUGUCCAGCACCUUAUUUAAUCCAUCUGAUACAAAUCAGCAGCUUUUCAGAGAGCUACAUGAACUGAACUGCGUCUGUCAGAUAAGAGAGAGACAUAAAAUGAGAGUUGAGAAAAUUAUUGCUGUUUC